GAUGAACGCUGGCGGCGUGCCUAGUACAUGCAAGUCGAGCGAACGGACGAGAAGCUUGCUUCUCUGAUGUUAGCGGCGGACGGGUGAGUAACACGUGGAUAACCUACCUAUAAGACUGGGAUAACUUCGGGAAACCGGAGCUAAUACCGGAUAAUAUUUUGAACCGCAUGGUUCAAAAGUGAAAGACGGUCUUGCUGUCACUUAUAGAUGGAUCCGCGCUGCAUUAGCUAGUUGGUAAGGUAACGGCUUACCAAGGCAACGAUGCAUAGCCGACCUGAGAGGGUGAUCGGCCACACUGGAACUGAGACACGGUCCAGACUCCUACGGGAGGCAGCAGUAGGGAAUCUUCCGCAAUGGGCGAAAGCCUGACGGAGCAACGCCGCGUGAGUGAUGAAGGUCUUCGGAUCGUAAAACUCUGUUAUUAGGGAAGAACAUAUGUGUAAGUAACUGUGCACAUCUUGACGGUACCUAAUCAGAAAGCCACGGCUAACUACGUGCCAGCAGCCGCGGUAAUACGUAGGUGGCAAGCGUUAUCCGGAAUUAUUGGGCGUAAAGCGCGCGUAGGCGGUUUUUUAAGUCUGAUGUGAAAGCCCACGGCUCAACCGUGGAGGGUCAUUGGAAACUGGAAAACUUGAGUGCAGAAGAGGAAAGUGGAAUUCCAUGUGUAGCGGUGAAAUGCGCAGAGAUAUGGAGGAACACCAGUGGCGAAGGCGACUUUCUGGUCUGUAACUGACGCUGAUGUGCGAAAGCGUGGGGAUCAAACAGGAUUAGAUACCCUGGUAGUCCACGCCGUAAACGAUGAGUGCUAAGUGUUAGGGGGUUUCCGCCCCUUAGUGCUGCAGCUAACGCAUUAAGCACUCCGCCUGGGGAGUACGACCGCAAGGUUGAAACUCAAAGGAAUUGACGGGGACCCGCACAAGCGGUGGAGCAUGUGGUUUAAUUCGAAGCAACGCGAAGAACCUUACCAAAUCUUGACAUCCUUUGACAACUCUAGAGAUAGAGCCUUCCCCUUCGGGGGACAAAGUGACAGGUGGCGCAUGGUUGUCGUCAGCUCGUGUCGUGAGAUGUUGGGUUAAGUCCCGCAACGAGCGCAACCCUUAAGCUUAGUUGCCAUCAUUAAGUUGGGCACUCUAAGUUGACUGCCGGUGACAAACCGGAGGAAGGUGGGGAUGACGUCAAAUCAUCAUGCCCCUUAUGAUUUGGGCUACACACGUGCUACAAUGGACAAUACAAAGGGCAGCGAAACCGCGAGGUCAAGCAAAUCCCAUAAAGUUGUUCUCAGUUCGGAUUGUAGUCUGCAACUCGACUACAUGAAGCUGGAAUCGCUAGUAAUCGUAGAUCAGCAUGCUACGGUGAAUACGUUCCCGGGUCU
rnacentral:rRNA from 1 species